rnacentral:rRNA from 1 species
UACGGAGGGGGCGAGCGUUAUUCGGAAUUAUUGGGCGUAAAGAGCUCGUAGGCGGCUUGUCGCGUCGUCCGUGAAAACCUGCAGCUCAACUGCAGGCUUGCGGUCGAUACGGGCAGGCUAGAGUUCGGUAGGGGAGACUGGAAUUCCUGGUGUAGCGGUGAAAUGCGCAGAUAUCAGGAGGAACACCUAUUGCGAAGGCAGCUCGCUGGGACGUAACUGACGCUGAGACGCGAAAGCGUGGGGAGCAAACAGG